rnacentral:rRNA from 1 species
CAGGACGAACGCUGGCGGCGUGCCUAAUACAUGCAAGUUGAGCGCUGAAGGUUGGUACUUGUACCAACUGGAUGAGCAGCGAACGGGUGAGUAACGCGUGGGGAAUCUGCCUUUGAGCGGGGGACAACAUUUGGAAACGAAUGCUAAUACCGCAUAAAAACUUUAAACACAAGUUUUAAGUUUGAAAGAUGCAAUUGCAUCACUCAAAGAUGAUCCCGCGUUGUAUUAGCUAGUUGGUGAGGUAAAGGCUCACCAAGGCGAUGAUACAUAGCCGACCUGAGAGGGUGAUCGGCCACAUUGGGACUGAGACACGGCCCAAACUCCUACGGGAGGCAGCAGUAGGGAAUCUUCGGCAAUGGACGAAAGUCUGACCGAGCAACGCCGCGUGAGUGAAGAAGGUUUUCGGAUCGUAAAACUCUGUUGGUAGAGAAGAACGUUGGUGAGAGUGGAAAGCUCAUCAAGUGACGGUAACUACCCAGAAAGGGACGGCUAACUACGUGCCAGCAGCCGCGGUAAUACGUAGGUCCCGAGCGUUGUCCGGAUUUAUUGGGCGUAAAGCGAGCGCAGGUGGUUUAUUAAGUCUGGUGUAAAAGGCAGUGGCUCAACCAUUGUAUGCAUUGGAAACUGGUAGACUUGAGUGCAGGAGAGGAGAGUGGAAUUCCAUGUGUAGCGGUGAAAUGCGUAGAUAUAUGGAGGAACACCGGUGGCGAAAGCGGCUCUCUGGCCUGUAACUGACACUGAGGCUC